rnacentral:lncRNA from 1 species
AUGCGCUCCCGGGCACCAAGUUGCUGCGGGGCUGCCGGCGGGGUGGGGCGGCACGGAGGGAGGGAGAAGGGCGAAGUCUCGGCGUUAUUUGCUCCAGCUGCCUCUAUUUAUUCGUUCUCGGGAGGCGGCUGCUGGCGUUGGGAUAGAAGAAGAAAAAANNNNNNNNNNNNNNNNNNNNUUUUGCAUUUGCGAAAUAUUUUAAGGAUGUUCGGGGAGCCCUUUGCGGCAUGGAGGUGGCUGGCGGUGGGAGAGCGAGUAUGCGGUCCAUAUUGUUCCAGGCGGUCUGCGAGGGCUGCCUUCUCCGAAGAAAUGUCUGGAAGACACAUUACUGAGGAGUGGCUUUGCCUCGACUGCACGUUUCCCAGCCUCACUCCUUCUGAAAUGUCUGUGCCUGUCUGUGGAAUAUCAGGAUCUAAAACACAAGAGGGUAACCUGUUUCCCAGCUGUGAACAAAGGAUGUCUGUCUUGCUCCAGACUCUCAUUCUUCCAUGCCUCUUCCAGACUGCAACUUGUAUGGCUCUUCAGUGUUACGCGUCAGAGGAAGCUGCAUCCAAAGGUUAAAGCAUCCUUCCACCUAGCAUUCUUCAUAUUUUUCCUCUUUUAUCAAAAGGCUCAAGAAGGUAAUUCAUGUUGUAGUAGAGGUCCAAAUCCGUGAGACAAUCUAGGAUUGUAAGUGUUUUAGUAAAUAUACGUGGGUGGGGAAAAAAAUAAAUCAGUGCUUUGAAACA